rnacentral:tRNA from 1 species
GGAGAGAUGUCCGAGUGGUUGAAGGAGCAGCAUUGGAAAUGCUGUGUAGGGGAAACCUUACCGAGGGUUCGAAUCCCUCUUUCUCCG